AAAUUGAAGAGUUUGAUCAUGGCUCAGAUUGAACGCUGGCGGCAGGCCUAACACAUGCAAGUCGAGCGGAAACGAGUUAUCUGAACCUUCGGGGA
rnacentral:rRNA from 2 species